rnacentral:rRNA from 1 species
GACGAACGCUGGCGGCGUGCUUAACACAUGCAAGUCGAACGAAGUGGCGAACGGGUGAGUAACGCGUAAUCACCCUGCCCUUCAGAGGGGUACCACAGUUGGAAACGACUGCUCAUCCCGCAUACUGAAGGAGGUGAUCGCGUCGGAUUAGCUAGUUGGAGGGGUAACGGCCCACCAAGGCGAUGAUCAGUAGCCGGUUUGGGAGAAGGAACGGCCACAUUGGGACGUGAACAAGGCCCAGACUCCUACGGGAAGCAGCAGGGGGGAAUCUUCCGCAAUGGACGAAAGUCUGACGGAGCAACGCCGCGUGAGUGAUGACGGCCUUCGGGUUGGAAAGCUCUGUUAAUCGGGACGCGGUACCGGAAUAGAAAGCCACGGCUAACUACGUGCCAGCAGCCGCGGUAAUAC